rnacentral:tRNA from 1 species
AAAUAAGAAGUAAAAAAUUACCUUUAGUUUCGACCUAAAAUUUUGAUGCAUAAACAUCCUUAUUUA